rnacentral:rRNA from 1 species
GGCUCAGGAUGAACGCUAGCGGCAGGCUUAAUACAUGCAAGUCGAACGGCAGCACAGUGUAGCAAUACAUGGGUGGCGAGUGGCGCACGGGUGCGUAACACGUAUGCAAUUUGCCAAUAACUGGGGGAUAGCCCUCCGAAAGGAGGAUUAAUACCCCAUAACAUAAUGAAGAGGCAUCUCUUUAUUAUUAAAUCUCCGGAGGUUAUUGAUGAGCAUGCGCCCGAUUAGCUAGUUGGUGAGGUAACGGCUCACCAAGGCAACGAUCGGUAGGGGGUCUGAGAGGAUGAUCCCCCACACGGGUACUGAGACACGGACCCGACUCCUACGGGAGGCAGCAGUAAGGAAUAUUGGACAAUGGAGGCAACUCUGAUCCAGCCAUGCCGCGUGAAGGAUGAAGGCGCUACGCGUUGUAAACUUCUUUUCUGCUAGAAAAAACUCUUGGUUUCGUACCGAGACUGAUUGUACAGCAGGAAUAAGCAUCGGCUAACUUCGUGCCAGCAGCCGCGGUAAUACGAAGGAUGCAAGCGUUAUCCGGAAUCACUGGGUUUAAAGGGUGUGCAGGUGGGGUAAUAAGUCAGUGGUGAAAGCCCCCGACUCAAUCGGGGAACUGCCAUAGAUACUGUUAUUCUUGAGUGUGGUUGAGGCGGAUGGAAUAUGACAUGUAGCGGUGAAAUGCUUAGAUAUGUCAUAGAACACCGAUCGCGAAGGCAGUCCGCCAAACCAUUACUGACACUGAAACACGAAAGUGCGGGGAUCAAACAGGAUUAGAUACCCUGGUAGUCCGCACCGUAAACGAUGAUCACUCGUUGUUGGCGAUACACAGUCAGCGACUAAGCGAAAGCAUUAAGUGAUCCACCUGGGAAGUACGACCGCAAGGUUGAAACUCAAAG